rnacentral:lncRNA from 1 species
GUGGUGGCAUUCGCGUCUGCGAGCUCCGGAGUGACUUUCCCUUCCUGUGAAGGCAAUCCGGCCCUUUCCGGUGGAGGACCCUUCCCCCUGGGUUGAUCUUGAGGAACUUAAGAGACGGUGUUUUGACUCGACUCCUUUCCCCUUUUUCCUCCCGGCAGAACUUGCUGAAACUCCAACCUCUGGAAAUUACUGGAACCCUGCAUUCUAGAACUUGCUGGAAACCCACCCUCUGGAAUUGGCCUGCUAGAGUGCCUGAGAAGGAUGUUCAUAGGGAAAUGUUUCAGCAGAGGAACUCUACUACAAAAACCACAAGAGGGAGGGUGCCAGGGGAAGUGGCCUGGUGCUAUUGAAACUGCAACACAGAAGCCAGCCACUGGAGAGAGCUGCACAAGCUGCAGGAACACCCUACCCAGUAAGCCGGCCAGAAGGAGGGAGCAAAACCUUUUCUCUCUGCAACAUCUUUCCAGUUUCCUCUACUGGAAAAGCUUCAUUGCCAGCUGACAAAAGGAAAAAUACUUAAAUGGAUCAGAUCCAUUUUCACAGAGCAGUCAAUAAUGGUGAAUUUGGAGAUGAUAAGCAACAAAUUGAUGAACUGGCACAACUUCCCUGCUACUUUCUUGAUUGUAAUGCCUAGAUAGGGAAUAGGAAAGUUAUUGAAAUGUAUGUGUUCCCAUGAAAUGUGUUUAUUUGUUGUUCAAGAUCAAUACUAAUAAAUGGGGACUAAUGUUCUGAAGUAUUUUGGAACAAUUAGAAUCACCACUCUUAA